CGGGGUCCAAGGUCCACGCUACUACUCCAAGGUCCACGCUUACGUCCACGGUACGGCUUACCGGCUCCACGGUACGGUUUACCGACUCCGCGGUUCACCUACGUGGCUUCUACGGCUCGCCCUCUACGUGCUGGUUCGGCAACCCCCUACCUUCGUGUUGCUGACCACGCCGCGCAGCCGAGCUACACGCCACGCGCACGCAACGGCCACGUGACCUGCCUGCCUACCUACCUGGGCACUGGAGAAGAGGACUUCCACGCCGGUCGCGUUAUCGGGAUUCCACGCCGAUACUCUUCGACUCAGGGGAGUCCCUAUCCGUGCCAACU